rnacentral:lncRNA from 1 species
CGUAAAGCGGACGAGCCCACUUCUCGUGAAAACGCGGGGGUCUGUGUGCUUCACGUGCACACAGACAUGUCUGUCCCUGCACGGCUCGCAGGGCCCCACCCCCCCCGACAUAUACAUCACCUCCCUCCCUCCUAUAAAGACUUUACAAAGUGAGCCUGCUCUAUUGUCCACACACACAUUCACGCUAAUCGGCACCAAACCCACAACCGGACCCCGGACCGCCUGCAGGUCUCCAGAACCCAGCCCAGCUCUUCCCUCGUCCCACCUCACACCACAUCAGCAGACAUGAUCAUCAGACUGGGCAGACUGACACCUGGAUACUUCCGCCUCCUCCAGAGGCAAGUUGCCGGCGAGGUGCAGACGCAGCCACAGGACCGUGCCGUCAACCAGAUAGCCAUGAUGCUGGCCAUCAUGGGCCUGAGUUUGUCCUACUACAGUGCCAAACAGAUGACGGAGAAAGUCCACGCCCAUCCUGCACCCUGAAGAGACUUGACCCGCUCCGGCCGAGGAGACGAUGGACGAACCAAUGAGAAGCGAAGGAGCAGAGGAAGCAGAAGUGGAGACAAAGCAGUGUCUUUCAGAACAGAACCGCACUUUUCUCACCUCACAGUCACACUCAGACACUGAAUUUCUGGGAUCCCUCACUCACCAACCGUAGAGCCUUCAGGGCUUGUUACGUGUUUUCUAUACCUUCUGUUGUCAGGACCUUCAGGGACUCAUGGGGGGGAUGGCUCACUUUUGUAGACAGGUUUGGGGGGGGUGGGCGAUCAAAACCCUGCUGACUGCCAACUGGGCCUGGACAUUAGUUGUUACAAUGGUACAUGCUUGCACGAUGCCGUCGAUGCUGUUCUAAGCUAUAUAUAUAAAAAAAAAGAGGAAACCCUGAUGUAACUGUGAAAAAAGCUUGUCCAAAUAGGGUUUUAUAAUGUGAACAGCAAUGCCUUUUUAAGGGAAGGCUGAACGCAAUUGAGAUGUACCAUGUAAGGAAGUGAUGGCAGGCCCAGAACAUGUUAGAUGGGGGAUAAAGUUAUUUUGUUUUCCUUUCAAGAGAGCCUUCUGAUCAGAUCGGGAGCUGUAUUCAAACAAUACUUGUGAAUCUGUCAGGUGUAUACAAUUCAGUGAGUAUUUGCACAGAUGUUUUUAAAAACUACAGUGGAUCUGCAAAGGGACGUUGAACUACUACUCACUACCUUUUUUUUUCUUGUGGUUUCAUUGUUUUAUGAAGUCCUGCAUGUGUGACAAACCCGUCAAAAACCUGUUUUCUGCAGUAUCUACUGAAAUGCAUGUGUGUGUGCAGACCUUUAAUCAAAGCUAAAGUCACCAGUCUCUUGUUUUUAUUGAUGAACGAAUGUAUUACUUUGUUAUUUUGUAAUGAUUUAAUAAAGCUGUGAAUAUUUUGAAAGAGCGUGGAUGA